CAGUCGCCACGGUAAUACAGAGGGUGCGAGCGUUAAUCGGAUUUACUGGGCGUAAAGCGUGCGUAGGCGGCUUUUUAAGUCGGAUGUGAAAUCCCUGAGCUUAACUUAGGAAUUGCAUUCGAUACUGGGAAGCUAGAGUAUGGGAGAGGAUGGUAGAAUUCCAGGUGUAGCGGUGAAAUGCGUAGAGAUCUGGAGGAAUACCGAUGGCGAAGGCAGCCAUCUGGCCUAAUACUGACGCUGAGGUACGAAAGCAUGGGGAGCAAACAGGAUUAGAUACCCCGGUAGUCCCUGUCCUUAUACA
rnacentral:rRNA from 1 species